rnacentral:rRNA from 1 species
AGUGUACCCGCGGCAAGACGGAAAGACCCCGUGAACCUUUACUAUAGCUUGACACUGAACAUUGAGCCUUGAUGUGUAGGAUAGGUGGGAGGCUUUGAAGCGUGGACGCCAGUCUGCGUGGAGCCGACCUUGAAAUACCACCCUUUAAUGUUUGAUGUUCUAACGUGGACCCGUUACCCGGGUUGCGGACAGUGUCUGGUGGGUAGUUUGACUGGGGC